GACGAACGCUGGCGGCGUGCUUAACACAUGCAAGUCGAACGGAAAGGCCCUGCUUUUGUGGGGUGCUCGAGUGGCGAACGGUGAGUAACACGUGAGUAACCUGCCCUUGACUUUGGGAUAACUUCAGGAAACUGGGGCUAAUACCGGAUAGGAGCUCCUGCUGCAUGGUGGGGUUGGAAAGUUUCGGCGGUUGGGGAUGGACUCGCGGCUUAUCAGCUUGUUGGUGGGGUAGUGGCUUACCAAGGCUUUGACGGGUAGCCGGCCUGAGAGGGUGACCGGCCACAUUGGGACUGAGAUACGGCCCAGACUCCUACGGGAGGCAGCAGUGGGGAAUAUUGCACAAUGGGCGGAAGCCUGAUGCAGCAACGCCGCGUGCGGGAUGACGGCCUGGUGUAACGACUUCGUCCUCGUGACGAAGCGUGAGUGACGGUAA
rnacentral:rRNA from 1 species